rnacentral:lncRNA from 1 species
UUAAAGGUCAUAUGCAAUUUUUAACUUUCAACAGUGUUCAGAUAGAAUUCUUUACACCAUCCAUGCUUUUCUUCAAACACAGGGUUUUAAAUAACAACACAAUUCUAGGAAACCUCUUGAGAAGGUUUUGAUAUCUUUAACAAGCAGGGUCAGAGGGUGUUGUUGCAGGUUUUGCCUAACUUGAGUAGAAAAUCCUUGAGGUUGCACUUCCUGUGCCCCAGAAGCAAAGAUUUGGAUCAGCUGUGAAGGCCCUUCAUUUGGCUUUGGGACUUGUCCCUAGUCCAGCAGUUUGAUGAGGCAAUCCUUGGAAUUGAAUUGCUUGAGGCCUGCACACAAAAGCAAAUUCCAAACAUGUCAAUGAAAGGUAAUUUUUCUAAUAUAUUUCUACUUUCAAUGAAGGUUGAAACUUCAGCGGAUUGCGUCAAGUUUUCCAUCAAUCCUACCUCAUAAAACUCAACCUCAAUCAAAUCAAGUACGAAUUUUAACCCGAGAUACUUAAACCAAGCAUGAGUUGAUUUCAGGUUUGAUUAGAGUUUGUGCGCUUAAUGUGGUGUUUGUAUUUUUACUUAAUUGUAAACUAAGCACAAGUCGAUUUUGGGUUUGAUUAGAGUUUGUCCACUUUUAAGGUAGUGUUUGUUUGUUUUACUUUAUUUUAAAUAGAAAUGAAAAUUAAAUAGUGUUUAAUAGGGUUAAGUAAUGGAUUACUUGUUUUUAUAAUAUUUUAUUUCAUUAAAUAUUAAAAAAUUUUUAAAAAAAACUAUUACUUUUUUUUAUAUUUAAAAAUGUUAAAUAUUUUAAUUUUUUCUAUUCGAUUAAAAAUUUAUAAUAAAUCAUGAAAAAAAAAGUAAAAAAGUAAAAAAUUAAACAACUUAAAGUCUAGAAGCAAAUUACUUUCAACAAAAAACAAAUGUCUCUUAGAGUCGAGUUGAUUGAGUUGUUGGAUCAAGUUCGGGUUUGUAAGUUUGAGUUACAUUUAACCUCUCUAUAAUUAUUUCUUGUAAUUUUAUGGAUUCAUAUAAGAAUCUAUAAUUUAAUAUUUAAAUACACAAUAUUUCUAAUAUAUUUCUACUUAUGUUUGAUUAUAAAAAAUAUAAAAGAAAAUCAAAUUAAUUUAAAAUUUAUAUAUAUUUAAAUUAUUUCAUCUUGCUAAAUAGAAAAAAAUAAGUAAAAUGAGUUUGAAGAAACUUACAAAUUUUUUAUUUAUUAAAUUUAAGUCUAUUCUUUUUGUUUUUUUUUUUUUCCUAUUUUUCCUCUCUAUUAUCUUUUCUUUGCAUUUUCCCUCAAAUUUCCGGUGACCAAACUGAGCAUAAAACACAAUUUUUUAACCAUCUUUGCCUUGUAAGAAAUUGGUAUUUUUUUCUCAAAAAAAAACUUAACAAUUUUACCUUUUUUGGGCAGCCUUGAGAAGCCAUAUCAUCAAGACCUGCAACUGCAUAUGAUGAGAUCAUAUUAUUAGAAUCAACAGGAAAAUCAAUAUGUAAUAAUUCAUUAAAAAAAUUUGAAAAUAAUACCUAAAUAAUAUGGUAAAUCACUGAACCAAUGUUGAUAGGAAUUCAAAUUGUCUUCUAUCAUUCUUUAAUUUACUGAAAAAUAAAACUCAAA